rnacentral:lncRNA from 1 species
GUUUGCAAACAAAUUUUCAUUAUUCUAGUUCAAUCUUCCACAAACAUACUGUACAGAGUCUUAUAUGGUAUAAAACAAAGGAAAACAUCUGUCUAUUCAGUUUAACAACACUGAAAUAAAGCGAUUAAGACUUUGGGGAAUUCAAAGGUACAAGAAAAACAAAAACGGUUAGCACUAAUUCCUCAGCUUUUUUACCGUAAACAUUUGUCAUUAAAACAUAGUGUUUGAUAUAGUUUCUUUUGUACUGCAAAUACUUUUGGUCUCUCCUCACUGUAGAACAAAUGAAAAAUUAAAUGAACCCCAUAGCAUCCUCUGAAGGAGAUGAAAAGAUAAAGCUGCUAGACACAUCUAGCUUAAGAUUCCAUUGUUUCUGAAAUUUUCACACAAAAAAUACUGAAGCCUCAACUAAUGAUGCUUAUUUUUGGAAACAAUAAAUACUGAGGUACAAUAAAUCCUACAGGAAUAGUAACAAGAGAAACAUAUUAACAGUUUCCUUUGGCAAAUUUAACGGAAGUGAAUGCUGAUGCGAACCUAGAAAAAAAUAAUUAUGAAACAUAUGAAAAAUGGAAAUGCCAUUAAAAAGUUAAGACAAAGGGAGUAUUUCUUUUAGACUGAUGAAAGAAAUGUUUGAGGCCCUUAAAUGCAGAAAAGAAAUACAUUCUCUUUAAAUUAUUGUGUCCUGUUCGACAAAAUAUGCCUUGUUUAUCUUUUGCCCCCUCCACUUAAAAAAAAAAGACAACAAAACACAGUCUGCAAUGCACACCCUAAUGGUUUUGGCUGCAGAUUGAAUCUGAGUAAAUAUCAUCAUUUAGUCAGUAUGUUGUGGUAGCUGAGGCUGCCGAUGUGGUUAACCAGCUCAGGCAACAUGUGUAAACAUCGG